GCCUUCUUAGCUCAGUUGGUAGAGCGUUGUAUUUGUAAUGCAAUGGUCGUCGGUUCGAAUCCGGCAUGAGGCU
rnacentral:tRNA from 1 species